UCGGCCGUGGUGUAAUUGGCAACACGGUGCCCUUUGGAGGCACUUUUCCAGGUUCGAGUCCUGGCGGCCGAG
rnacentral:tRNA from 1 species